AUCGAACGCUGGCGGCAUGCCUUACACAUGCAAGUCGAACGGUAACGCGGGGCAACCUGGCGACGAGUGGCGAACGGGUGAGUAAUGCAUCGGAACGUGCCCAGUAGUGGGGGAUAGCCCGGCGAAAGCCGGAUUAAUACCGCAUACGACCUACGGGUGAAAGGGGGGGAUCGCAAGACCUCCCGCUAUUGGAGCGGCCGAUGUCAGAUUAGCUAGUUGGUGGGGUAAAAGCCUACCAAGGCGACGAUCUGUAGCUGGUCUGAGAGGACGACCAGCCACACUGGGACUGAGACACGGCCCAGACUCCUACGGGAGGCAGCAGUGGGGAAUUUUGGACAAUGGGCGAAAGCCUGAUCCAGCCAUGCCGCGUGCGGGAAGAAGGCCUUCGGGUUGUAAACCGCUUUUGUCAGGGAAGAAAUCUUCUGAGUUAAUACCUCGGGAGGAUGACGGUACCUGAAGAAUAAGCACCGGCUAACUACGUGCCAGCCGCCGCAGUAA
rnacentral:rRNA from 1 species